UGAUAUGCAAUUGAAGGUAUAUAAGUAGACAUGCUACCUGCAACACACAUAUCCAUUAACUGGUCAAAAGCUCAGGUUUCUUCAGACUUGGUAAACUACCACAGACUACAAUGAACUACCUUCAGUUGUUGUUACUUCUUGUUCUGGUGGUACUGACCAUUUAUGUGUCGGGUUCGUUCGCGUCCCCCCGGAGAUGGUACAGACGAUGGUCGUCCGAAUCUGACUCCGGAUCCUGGAGCUGGGGCCGUUAAAGGGUGCUGAAAUAAGUGUUGGAUUGAUCUCAGAGGAAAUAAGAUGGUUUCCUUCGUUAUUGUUACCUCUUUAAUAUGUAAUAGCCUGUGUAUGUAUGUGUAGUUAAUAUUUUUAGAACACAGUGUGUGAUGAAGUGUACAAUUGUGUUCUAUGCGUAUGAUAUUUUUCAAAAAUAAGGAAAUUUCUAUAAUUGGUUUGCGAUGUUUUCAAUGUUAUACAAGGUUAGAAAUGAAAAUGUAUGUAAUUCACGUGUUUAUUUUGUUGAUAUAAAUACUUAAGAAAACA